AGUGAACGCUGGCGGUAGGCCUAACACAUGCAAGUCGAACGGCAGCACAGUAAGAGCUUGCUCUUACGGGUGGCGAGUGGCGGACGGGUGAGGAAUACAUCGGCAUCUACUUUUUCGUGGGGGAUAACGUAGGGAAACUUACGCUAAUACCGCAUACGACCUACGGGUGAAAGCAGGGGAUCUUCGGACCUUUCGCGAUUGAAUGAGCCGAUGUCGGAUUAGCUAGUUGGCGGGGUAAAGGCACACCAAGGCGACGAUCCGUAGCUGGUCUGAGAGGAUGAUCAGCCACACUGGAACUGAGACACGGUCCAGACUCCUACGGGAGGCAGCAGUGGGGAAUAUUGGACAAUGGGCGCAAGCCUGAUCCAGCCAUACCGCGUGGGUGAAGAAGGCCUUCGGGUUGUAAAGCUCUGUUGUUGGGAAAGAAAAGCAGUAGGUUAAUACCCCGAUGUUCUGACGGUACCCAAAGAAUAAGCACCGGCUAACUUCGUG
rnacentral:rRNA from 1 species